rnacentral:rRNA from 1 species
UCGGGAAACCGGAGCUAAUACCGGAUAAUAUUUCGAACCGCAUGGUUCGAUAGUGAAAGAUGGCUUUGCUAUCACUUAUAGAUGGACCUGCGCCGUAUUAGCUAGUUGGUAAGGUAACGGCUUACCAAGGCAACGAUACGUAGCCGACCUGAGAGGGUGAUCGGCCACACUGGAACUGAGACACGGUCCAGACUCCUACGGGAGGCAGCAGUAGGGAAUCUUCCGCAAUGGGCGAAAGCCUGACGGAGCAACGCCGCGUGAGUGAUGAAGGUCUUCGGAUCGUAAAACUCUGUUAUUAGGGAAGAACAAACGUGUAAGUAACUGUGCACGUCUUGACGGUACCUAAUCAGAAAGCCACGGCUAACUACGUGCCAGCAGCCGCGGUAAUACGUAGGUGGCAAGCGUUAUCCGGAAUUAUUGGGCGUAAAGCGCGCGUAGGCGGUUUUUUAAGUCUGAUGUGAAAACCCACGGCUCAACCGUGGAGGGUCAUUGGAAACUGGAAAACUUGAGUGCAAAAGAAGAAAAUGGAAUUCCCUGUGUACCGGUGAAAUGCCCAAGAAUUGGAGGAACCCCAGUGGGGAAAG